rnacentral:rRNA from 1 species
GAUGAACGCUAGCGGCAGGCUUAAUACAUGCAAGUCGUGGGGCAGCAUGAGUGUAGCAAUACAUUUGAUGGCGACCGGCAAACGGGUGCGGAACACGUACACAACCUUCCUAUAAGUGGGGAAUAGCCCAGAGAAAUUUGGAUUAAUACCCCGUAACAUAAAGAUGUGGCAUCCCAUUGUUAUUAUAGCUUCGGCGCUUAUUGAUGGGUGUGCGGCUGAUUAGAUAGUUGGCGGGGUAACGGCCCACCAAGUCUACGAUCAGUAGCUGAUGUGAGAGCAUGAUCAGCCACACGGGCACUGAGACACGGGCCCGACUCCUACGGGAGGCAGCAGUAAGGAAUAUUGGUCAAUGGACGCAAGUCUGAACCAGCCAUGCCGCGUGAAGGAUUAAGGUCCUCUGGAUUGUAAACUUCUUUUAUCUGGGACGAAAAAAGGCUUUUCUAAGUCACUUGACGGUACCAGAUGAAUAAGCACCGGCUAACUCCGUGCCAGCCGCCGCGGUAACAC